rfam:Paenibacillus sp. IHBB 10380, complete genome.
CAAAAAAAUUGGACGCCCCUUGCAGGGCGUCCUCAUGGGAGAGGAGAAACCGGUCGAAGAGCUAUGGGGAAACGUAAUUCUUCUCCACGG